rnacentral:rRNA from 1 species
UUAAGAGUUUGAUCCUAGCUCAGGAUGAACGCUGGCGGCGUGGAUAAGGCAUGCAAGUCGUGUGGGUUUAGACCCACGGCAAACGGGGUAGUAACACGUAGGUACUUCCCCCGAAGUUAGGCAUAACUAGUCGAAAGAUUAGAUAAUACCUAAUAGUUCUCGCAAGAGUAAAGGUGUGGCGCAAGCCAUACUGCUUCGGGAAAGGCCUGCGGGCUAUCAGCUAGUUGGUGAGGUAACGGCUCACCAAGGCUAUGACGGCUAGGGGGUGUGAGAGCAUGGCCCCCACCAAUGGGACUGAGACACGGCCCAUACACCUACGGGUGGCUGCAGUCGAGAAUAUUGCACAAUGCGCGAAAGCGUGAUGCAGCGACGCCGCGUGCAGGAUGAAGGCCUUCGGGCUGUAAACUGCUUUUAUGGAGGAGGAACUUUGACGUUACUCCAUGAAUAAGGGCUUGCUAACCUCGUGCCAGCAGCCGCGGUAAUACGAGGGGCCCAAGCGUUAUCCGGAAUCACUGGGCGUAAAGGGUUCGUAGGGGGUUAUAUUAGUCCUGUGUUAAAGCCUUCGGCUUAACCGAAGAAAUGCAUGGGAAACGGUAUAACUAGAGGAUGUGAGAGGCUGAUGGAACUCACGGUGUAGGGGUGAAAUCCGUUGAUAUCGUGGGGAACACCAAAUGCGAAGGCAAUCAGCUGGCGCAUUCCUGACCCUGAGGAACGAAAGUGUGGGUAUCGAAAAGGAUUAGAUACCCUUGUAGUCCACACCCUAAACGAUGAUAACUAGCUAUUGGAAGUAUCGACCCUUCCAGUGGCGUAGCUAACGCGUUAAGUUAUCCGCCUGGGAAUUACGAUCGCAAGAUUAAAACUCAAAGGAAUAGACGGGGACUCGCACAAGCGGUGGAGCAUGUGGUUUAAUUCGAUGACAAGCGAAAAACCUUACCAGGGCUAGAAAUUCUAGUGAAGUCACCCCGAAAGGGAUGAUGUCUCACAAGGACACUAGGACAGGUGCUGCAUGGUUGUCGUCAGUUCGUGGUUUGAACUGUUCCCUUAAGUGGGUCAACGAACGCAACCCCCAUUGUCUGUUAUACAUGUCAGACGAGACUGCCCCUCACCAAGCGCGUUUGCAAAUGGCAAACGAGCAAUAGUUAAAUAUUUAAACUUUUUUAUAUUUAAAUAUAAGCGCGUAAGCGCGUUUGGUGAGGGGAGGAAGGUGGGGAUGACGCCAAAUCAGCAUGGCCCUCGACGCCCUGGGCUACACACAUGCUACAAUGGCACGCACAAAGGGCCGCGAAGGGGUAACCCGGAGCAAAUCCCGCCAAAGUGUGCCUUAGUUCGGAUUGAGGUCUGCAACUUGACCUCAUGAAGCUGGAAUCGCUAGUAAUCGCAGAUCAGCACGCUGCGGUGAAUACGUUCUCGAGUCUUGUACUCACCGCCCGUCACGUCAAGGAAGUCGGGAGCACCCGAAGUUCGCGCUCGUCGCGGCCGAAGGUGAAUUCGAUAACAGGGACGAAGUCGUAACAAGGCACGGCUAGCGGAAGCUGGUCGUGGAUCA